CUAAGCCUUGAACGUUGUGUGACCAGGAUCCUGAGGCUGUAUGAACCUCUGGCCAGCUACUACAAAUCUGCUAAUGAAAAUCAGGCCAGGUUCAAGAGACUUGUGCAGACAUUCACUGUCCCCAUGACAGAAGUGUACCUGCUGUUCUUCCAAGCCACCGUACCAACUUUCACUUCUUUCAACUUGCUGCUUCAGAGAGAGCAGUCAUCAAUAUUUUUGUUACAUGAUGAGAUGGUGAAAUUCGUACGCAAGCUAUGUUCCAAGUUUAUGGUUCCAGCAGCUCUGCAGUGCCAUGAGGAGCCUUGUGAAAUUGCCUUUGAAGAAAAGGCAAACCAUUUACCAGAUUACUCGACGAGGGUGACAUCACACCACAGCAGGUGGAU